rfam:Enterovibrio coralii strain CAIM 912 contig00065, whole genome shotgun sequence.
AGUGUUACAAAUCUCCAUUUAAACCAGUUAGCGCAAGGCUCUUACGAGCCAUUCCCCUAAGCCCGGAACAGGAAUCGUUCCGGGCUCUUUUUA